rnacentral:ribozyme from 1 species
UGUCCAACAACUCAUACCUCUACCUCCACGUGGUACCGGCUGGAAACUACGAGCAACCUUAGGAAAGAUCGGGUAACGAACCCCGGUGGGAACUUUAGUCGUAGGCUAACAGGAAACG